GUUUACGCAGCUCCUCAUUCUCACAGUGAGCUCGAUGCUGAUUGAAGAGCACAGCGGCAUCAAGGACGUGACAGACACGUGAGAGCAUUCGAUGCCUGCCAUUUACGGCUUCAUAUAGUUGAAGCACAACAAGUUGCACGACGAGAGGAGGAUCCUUCAUGAAAGGCAAAUUCGUAAUGGCACAUAACAGGGCGCUGCGGGGGCGACGGGGAAGUUUCUAACGCAACGACGGCGUCACCCGUGAUGACGAUGUUGAAAACGUCGUAGCAUUAGUUGGUGGCAGCAGAGCUCAGCUGUACUCUCACUGGAACAGAACGUACCGGACAGCAGGUGUGUUUGUGACACAUGUCCUUUUAGACCUCCUCUAGAUGACCAGGUGAUGAUGUGACACCAGCGGGACAAAUACUGCAUAUGUGACCAGUAUCAUAUUUCAUGGUUCAGGCUUUUAUGGCUUGUAUAGUGUGAGAAUGGAGCAGG